rnacentral:rRNA from 1 species
UACGAAGGGUGCAAACGUUGCUCGGAAUUAUUGGGCGUAAAGCGCACGUAGGCGGCUUUGCAAGUCCCAUGUGAAAUCCCACGGCUCAACCGUGGAAGUGCAUGGGAAACUGCAGAGCUUGAGUACUUAAGAGGAUCGCGGAAUUCCCGGUGUAGAGGUGAAAUUCGUAGAUAUCGGGAGGAACACCAGUGGCGAAGGCGGCGAUCUGGGAAGAUACUGACGCUGAGGUGGCGAAAGCGUGGGGAGCAAACAGG